GGAAGUAAAAGUCGUAACAAGGUUUCCGUAGGUGAACCUGCGGAAGGAUCAUUACCGAGAGCCCCUCCCCGACGCAUGCUUGCAUGCGUCGUCGAAGGGGCUAUUCUCACACCCUUCUUUAUGCGUACCUUUUGUUCUUCCUCGGCGGGUUGCCCUGCCGACGGAACACCAUCAUAACCCUUUUUGCAUCUAGCAUUACCUGUUCUGAUACCCUCAAUCGUUACAACUUUCAACAAUGGAUCUCUUGGCUCUGGCAUCGAUGAAGAACGCAGCGAAAUGCGAUAAGUAGUGUGAAUUGCGGAAUUCAGUGAAUCAUCGAAUCUUUGAACGCACAUUGCGCCCCUUGGUAUUCCGAGGAGCAUGCCUGUUUGAGUGUCAUUUUACUUCUCUCAACCACAUCAUUGUGAUGUGGCUUGGAUGUGGGGGAUUUUGCAGGCUUCUGAAGUGAAGUUGGCUCUCCUGAAAUGCAUUAGUGGUAUCUGAGCUGCCAUUUGGUGUGAUAAAUUUAUCUAUGCCUUUGGUGAUGCUGGGUCAGCACCGCUUCUAACGAGUAUUACUUGACAAAUUUGACCUCAAAUCAGGUAGGACUACCCGCUGAACUUAAGCAUAUCAAUAAGCGGAGGAA
rnacentral:rRNA from 1 species